CGCGGCGUAGCUCAACGGCAGUAGCACUUGCCUGAUAAGCGAGAGACGGAAGGUUCGACUCCUCCCGCCGCGA
rnacentral:tRNA from 1 species